rnacentral:lncRNA from 1 species
GACGUCAAAAUUAAUUUUGGACCACCAAGUUGCCAUCGAGCUAAAACCUGUAGAAGCAGGAGAGUAGCUAAAGGUCGAGGCUCUCCAAACAACUUGUGGCAAAAGGGCAAAAAAAUAAAAUAUGUUAGAUCGCCUCUGUUUCGGCUCCCCAUCAAGAGCAUCCUUUGAAGAUAAGAGUGAUUCUUCUGUGAGGUUUUCAUUGGAUGCAACUGAGCUAUGAAUCACUCUUUAUAUACAGGUCUUAAUCUUCUUCGGAGUCUUCAGUCGCCAACACAGUAUUCCGG